rnacentral:tmRNA from 1 species
GGGGGUGAACGGUUUCGACUUUGGACGUUGAUUCAGGUGAAGCGUGCCAGUGCAGGCCAGAGACCACUGUUGAGCGUCAUGGCAAACCAAUAAGCGCCGAUUCCAAUCAGCGCGACUUCGCCCUCGCUGCCUAAGCAGUAGUGCGAGUCUGUCGGCCCGGGAGUUCCUCCGUCCCGGAUCCCGGCAUCAGCUAGGAGGAGUACUGCCGGUCCCGGCCACGGGGCCCGGUUAGGAAACAAACAGUGGCUGGGCCCGUCACAUCGGCUUGUUCGCGAGAUCGAUGGGGUCAAGUAGAGACACAGCGGACUGCGCACGGAGAAGCCCUGAUGAUCCGCCAGAGGACCCGGGUUCAAUUCCCGGCACCUCCACCA